rnacentral:rRNA from 1 species
AGUGAACGCUGGCGGUAUGCCUAACACAUGCAAGUCGAACGGCAGCACAGUAAGAGCUUGCUCUUACGGGUGGCGAGUGGCGGACGGGUGAGGCAUACAUCGGAAUCUACUUUUUCGUGGGGGAUAACGUAGGGAAACUUACGCUAAUACCGCAUACGACCUACGGGUGAAAUCAGGGGAUCUUCGCACCUUGCGCGAUUGAAUGAGCCGAUGUCGGAUUAGCUAGUUGGCGGGGUAAAGGCCCACCAAGGCGACGAUCCGUAGCUGAUCUGAGAGGAUGAUCGGCCACACUGGAACUGAGACACGGUCCAGACUCCUACGGGAGGCAGCAGUGGGGAAUAUUGGACAAUGGGCGCAAGCCUGAUCCAGCAAUACCGCGUGGGUGAAGAAGGCCUUCGGGUUGUAAAGCCCUUUUGUUGGGAAAGAAAAGCAGCAGGUUAAUACCCCGCUGUUCUGACGGUACCCAAAGAAUAAGCACCGGCUAACUACGUG